rnacentral:snoRNA from 1 species
AAGACUACACUUUCAUUAAUCCUUUCUAUAGUUUAUGACUUGAGAAUUGUGUUUCCAAAGUGUAAGGUCUCACUGACCACAAUGAAGAGUUGGUGAUGCUCCUUCUUGAAUGUGAAGUAGAUACAUGGAUCAUCCAUGUUCUCUGCUACUGAUGACUGUUCAGUGAUCUCAGUGGGAACUCAAGAAUUGUGAAGGAAUAUAUAUUUGA